GUCAGGAUGGCCAAGUGGUCUAAGGCACCAGACUCAAGUUCUGGUUUCCGAAUGGAGGUGUGGGUUUGAAUCCCAUUUCUGACA
rnacentral:tRNA from 1 species